CCCCUCUCAGGGUCGCACUUGGAGAGUUUCCGGUACUCUACCAGUCUCGGCUAUGGGAGGAGAAUUAAGCAGAGGCCUAGCCAAUCCAUUCCUAGCUUGGGCAGUGGCUAGUGGGUGGAAGGCAAUCUGCUACAAGU